rnacentral:rRNA from 1 species
GACGAACGCUGGCGGCGUGCUUAACACAUGCAAGUCGAACGGAAAGGCCCUGCUUUUGUGGGGUGCUCGAGUGGCGAACGGGUGAGUAACACGUGAGUAACCUGCCCUUGACUUUGGGAUAACUUCAGGAAACUGGGGCUAAUACCGGAUAGGAGCUCCUGCUGCAUGGUGGGGGUUGGAAAGUUUCGGCGGUUGGGGAUGGACUCGCGGCUUAUCAGCUUGUUGGUGGGGUAGUGGCUUACCAAGGCUUUGACGGGUAGCCGGCCUGAGAGGGUGACCGGCCACAUUGGGACUGAGAUACGGCCCAGACUCCUACGGGAGGCAGCAGUGGGGAAUAUUGCACAAUGGGCGGAAGCCUGAUGCAGCAGCGCCGCGUGCGGGAUGACGGCCUUCGGGUUGUAAACCGCUUUCGCCGGUGACGAAGCGUGCGUGACGGUAAUGGGUAAAGAAGCACCGGCUAACUACGUG